AAGAAAUAGAGUUAAAAAGUGGACCUUAAUUUAACGCUUUAUUUAAAUUAAUUGAUCUUUCCGAAUAGAACUGCGUCCAAGAUCUUGAACCGAACCUCAACACGAAUACUCGCCAAUCGAACAACCCAUCUAUCCAACAUGAUCCUAUUCUUUCACCAAUUCAAACUAAAAUUGCUAAGAGAGAAUGACCCAUACCAAACUUUAUACGAACGGGUUUGUUUUUUAUCGUGUUGCGAGGAAUUUAACCGGAAAAGGGUCGUUAUCCGGUGGAUUUGGGGAUUCGGAUCUGUGGUGGCUGAGAGAGGGACAAAAUCCAGCAAAAAAUUCACCGAAAACACCCAAGACUAACUGAUUUUGACUCCUUUAUUUCCCUGAUUUCCGAUCGCUCUUUGUUUUUCCCUUUUCCGUUUCUGUUUUAGAUGCCAGUCAUUGUGUGUGCGCACACCGUUGUAUGUAUUUUACGGUGAAGUGUUUUUCCCAAUGAAGUCCCCAGGUAGGUCAGUGCGUGCAGAUGGGUAGGUAUAUUCGGUCAAGGAAAUAUGGUGGUGCGUGUGUAUAUGUAUUCUGUUGUUUUUAGAAAAAGGAAAGAAAAAUAGAAAUUUUGUCUAGUGUGUUAAUGGCAAAGAAAAAAUGGAGGAUCUCUGGUCCCUUCUUCUUCCUUUAUCAGCUUUGUGUGUAUGUAUGUAUGGUGAUGGUAUCAAUUUAUUGGGGGUGGUCUCCUCCUGAAGAUGCUCUCCUCUUUCUUUCUAUUGUGGUCUAUGUGUAUAUUAGGAUGGGGUAGUGGGAUAGGGGUGCACGUGAGUAGGGGUGAGGUGGUGAGGUGUCUGCUUUUAAUUGGAGAGGUUGUUAAGAUAGGAUUAAAAUAAGGUAAAAAUUAUUAAGGGUUGUUAUUUUUGUCAGUUUAUGGAGGGAUAAUUACAUGGUUGAUGGUACACGAUAGGAAAAGGUAAUAAUGUGAAAAAUAAUCUUUCGGAGGGACAAAAUUAGGUGUCUACAUCAUGCCCCCUUUGAAUGUAAACACGAAGUGUUUUCAGAUAAAGAAGUAGACAACAAGACAGAAUUUUGUCCCGACCAUUAUUCAAAGAAAGAAACAGAAAGAAUAAAAACAAUCGAGUUCUGACUUAAGCCAUCCUACCCACCCAAGUUAUGGAGGAAUCAAGUGACGGUGUCUCAAAGGAUUGGAAGGAAAUGGACUAUACCGAGUUGGAGAGUCGAGUGAGGUUCCAUCGAGGUUCUAUUCCGCGGCUCUAUCAUUACAUCAAAAUGAAAAUUAUAAGUUAAAACAUAAAUGAAAUUACAAAAUCCUAUCUAUACAGCUUCUGUUGGACUCCUGACUUAAGUUACAUCACCCUAUUCUUCAGACGGGCUCCUGACUUGCAAUUUCAUCAUUUGUUGCUUUGUCUUUAAUUACUUCACCUUAUUGCUUAACUUUUCAUUUAUUCGGCCUGUGCUUUGGGCGGGCUCCUGACUUGCCAUUUCAUUAUCUUGUUCUUCAGGCGGGCUCCUGUCUUGCAAUUUCAUCAUCCUGUUCUUCAGGUGGGCUCCUGACUUGCAAUUUCGUCACCCUGUUCUUCAGGUGGGAUCCUAACUUGCUAUUUCAUCAAUCUGUUAACUUUCAAUUUCUUUACCUUGUUGCUUGACUUUCAACUUCUUCACCAUGCUGCUUGACUUUUCAUUUAUUCGCCCUGCUCUUCAGGCGGGCUCCUAAAAUCUCAUCAAAACUAAAAAGAAAAUUAUCCUAAACAAAGAUUAUUAUAAAUAGAUUUCAUAUGCCAGGAAAGUGAAGUUCCAACACAAGAAUUAAAUUUUGCCCUAGUUUAUCAUCAAAGGACUUUUGUGAAAGUCACAUAAUUAUAGGACUCAAGGAGAAUGACUCGACUAUAAGGUGUUCCUAAUAGGAAUCAAAGGAAUUGACUCGACUAAAAGGUAUUUCUUCUAGGGGUCAAGGAAAAUGACUUGACUAAAAUGUACGUCUUCUAGGGGCCAAACGGAAUGACUCGAUUAAAAAGUACAUCUUAUAGGAAUCAAAGGGAAUAACUCGACUAAAAGAUACAUCUUAUAGGAAUCAAAGAAGAUGACUCGACUAAAAGGUAUGUCUUAUAGGAAUCAAAGGGAAUGACUCGAAUAAAAGGUACGACUUUUAGAGGUUAAAGGAAAUGACUCGACUAAAAGGUACAUCUUAUAGGAAUAAGUGGAAUGACUCGACUAAAAGGUACGUCUUCUAGGAAUCAAAGGAGAUGACUCGACUAAAAGGUACGUCUUCUAGGAAUCAAAGGAGAUGACUCGACAAAAAGGUACGUCUUAUAGGGGUCAAAGGAAGAUGACUUGACUAAAAGGUACGUAUUCUAGGGGUCAAAGGGAAGAUGACUCAACUAAAAGGUACGUCUUCUAGUGGUCAAGGGGAAUGAAUCGACUAAAAAUUAUAUCUUAUAGGAAUCAAGGGGAAUGACUCAACUAAAAGGUACGUCUUAUAGGAAUCAAGGGAGAUGACUCGACUAAAAGGUAUGUCUUAUAGGAAUCAAGGGAGAUGACUUGACUAAAAGGUACGUCUUAUAAGAAUCAAAGGGGAUGACUCGACUAAACGGUACGUCUUAUAGGAAUCAAGGGAGAUGACUCGACUAAAAAGUACGUCUUAUAGGGGUCAAAGAAAGAUGACUCAAAUAAAAGGUACGUCUUAUAGGAAUCAUGGGGGAUGACUUGACCAAAGGUACAUCUUAUAAGAAUCAAAGAAAUUGACUCGACUAAAAGGUACGUUUUCUAGGAAUCAAAAAGGAAUGACUCGACUAAAAGGUACGUCUCUUAGGAAUCAAAGGGGAUGACUCGACUAAAAGGUACGUCUUAUAGGAAUCAUGGGGGAUGACUCGACUAAAAGGUACGUCUUAUAGGAAUCAAAGGAAUUAACUCAACUAAAAGGUACGUCUUCUAGGAAUAAAAAAAAUAAAUCCACUAAAAGGUACAUCUUGUAGGAAUCAAAGGGAGAUGACUCGACUAAAAGGUACGUCUUUUAGGAGUGAAGGUUCAAUUUAAGAAGUGUAUCACCCAGAAAAUGAAAACUGAAAUCCCUAGACAAGAAAGUGUGUCUCCGAGGGAUAUAAGAUGAUGAAUUUUACCAGGAUUUCAUUACCAAACCUGUGCAGCAACAUUGCUUCCUGCAUUUGUAAAAGUGAGAAAUUAUAGGCCUUUAUGUUUAGGCUUUGAAAUGCUUGAUUUGAAGGUAACAUGUGUUCCUGUUUAAUGCAAAAAAAGGUUGUGAGUUUAAAAACAUGGUGGCUGGUUUGUGGCUUUGGCUUUCGUGGCAAACGCUCUUGCCGUCAUCACAUUUAAUCUUGCUUCCAACCAUUAUCCUAUGUCAUUGACUUACUACUUCAUUGACCAAACUCAGAUUAUUAAGAGUGAUUAAGACAAACACAGCAUCUCUGCUUUGCCAUGCUUCUCAGAUAGACCUUUGAACCUUGGUAUUUCCAUGAGUUCCCUGACUUCUCUGUUGACAAAAAUUUCUGCAUGCCCUUUUUUGGCUCAUAAUCAUGUCUCUUUUAUGUGCUAGUUUUUCUCUUGAUUUGUGCAAUUAAAGAAGCUGGUAGCCAGUUUUGAAAUCUUUUCUCACUUGUUUUGACACAAACUUGACUCAAAGACAAGAAAUGAAAAAAAAGAAUGACAAUUUUUGUUUGGAUAACUGACUCAAGAAAGAUAAAAUAAAUAUAAAGAAAAGACAAUGAAUGUCCCCUUUUGAAACGAAGAAAUGAAAUAUUCAUCUAAAAAUGACAGUCAACACUAAUGAUUAUGCCAUGCAUUUUGGAUUAAGCAGCUUGAUCUUUUCAUCCAAAAUUUCUACCCAUUGUUGUUGAGUUAAUGGCCUUGAAACUGAGUUGCUUCCUUAGGUCAAUUGUAUUUAAGACCCCAUUCGGCUAGUGGCGCCUUGAAGGGUUUUCACUAACAAGCUUCUCUCAUUUUCUUUUCCUCAGCUCACCAUUGCCUUAUGGUGUAUCUAAGGGCUUUCCACUAAUGAGACUCUCUUAUCUUCAUUUCCCUUGACUCACAUUCGUCUUACGGUGCCCGUGAGAGUUUUCACCGAUAAGACUCUCUCAUUUUUAUCUCUCUCAACUUACCAUCAUCUUACGGUGCUCGUGAGGGUUUUUACCAAUAAGAAUCUCUCAUUUUUAUUUCUCUCCUGAUUUUUUAUGCUGAGGAAGAUAAGUAGCUCCCAGAUGCAUCAUCAUAUCUCUUCCAUGCUUAGCCUUAACAUCCUCAAAAAUUGAUGUGAAGGUCUUUCUUUGGUUGUAACCUGGCUUUUGGAUAGGGUUAGAAAGAAAGAAUGGCAUGGGGACCAAACGAAACUUGAAGUGGAGUGGGACUUACAACUUUUGAAAUUGACUCAAAUAAUGAGGAUUAACUCAUACCCCAGUUUCUUUUGACUGGGUAAUUCUAAAUUAUUUAUUUGGUUGGACCGAGCCCAGAGUAGGGCAGCCUACGUAUCUCACCCCCGAGAGAGAAGAAUCAGGUCACGCAUAAUUCUGGCAGCUCGUUCUUUGCUUGAUUUUGAUUCUUUUCUCUCUUUUUUUUCUUUUAUUGACUCUUUUCGUUUUGGGAUUUUUCUGACUAUAUUUUUAUUGAUACUCUUCUCAUUUCUUUCCUUUUGACACUUUUUUUCUGAAACUUUUCUGACUUUAUUCUUUUGCUCGACACUUUUAUUUUGAGCUUUGUUGACUCUAUAUUGAUUUCAAAAGAGGUGUAUGAAAGAAAAUAAAACUAAGACUCAAAUAGGAUAAACAAAGGAUGACAUAAUGUUUGGAUAACAGAAUGAAAUGCCUUCGUCAUAUCAAUCUUUGAAAAUGCAAGUACAUAACAUGCAAUUUGAAAGUUGGAAAUAAAGAUCACGUGCGACAUAUUUUACAACAUUAAAUUUGACUGAGUCUUUUCGUCACUACUUCUUCUGCUCUUUUCUAGCAUACAACUCUACUUUUGUUGUACAUUUCUUACAUUGAAUGACUCAUGAUUUUGUGGAGCUGAUUUUAUUUCUGUUCCUCUUGAUAUAGGAUCCUACAUCCACUGUUUGACCUAAUUGAGGCAUGCCUUACAAUUGAUGACCAAGUUAUUCUGGUGAUUCUCAAAACAAUUGCCUUAAUUUUGAAAGAAGGUUUCAACAUGGUCACCAAAUGUCUUAACACGCUACCUAUUUCUCACAUGCUUUUUCUAACUUUAGGCCUCUGAUUCAAAGUUUAUGCUCAAAUUGGAUUUUAAGAUCUAGCAAAGAAUUCCGCUAGCAUGUCAUAUCACUAAAGCCAACAUAAAAUGUACUAUGUAAAUAAAACAAACAAAUAACAUAUAUGUAAACACAAAGGAAAAAGGGACACUCUAUUUAGUUGAAAUAAAAGAUAGAAAAGGUUUGACCAUAAAUGACAAAAGGGAUAAAUCAAGAUAGAUCUCGAACUACCACCCUGAAAUAAUUGGGAUAACAGAAAAGAAAACAAAACAAAUUAUCAUACCUCUUCCUAGUAGGGAGAGGGGUGACUUCUCAAUUGCUCAGCCUGACAUAUUAGCCACUGAUUUGCAUAUUAGCAUGACUAGAGCUUCCACCACUGUCAGACACAUUUCCUUCAACAAAUAAGUUCUGGAUCCCUAUGCUUAACUCAUUGCCUCCCACAUAUUGUGCAUUACCGCGUGCUGGUGAAAAACUCAGUGGGAUGGUCGAGGGGCCAAUGUUUUGCACCACAAUCAACUUAUCUUGAAUCAUCCUUUCUAUUUCUCUUUUCAAAGUACGACAAUCUUCAGUACUAUGACCCUGAAAAUUAGAAUGAUAUGCACACCAUACAUUAGGAUCAAAAUUUCUUGAAUGUGGGUCAGGUAUAUACCCAAGGAGAGAAGUAAUCAUGCCCCUAUGUCUCAAUCUCUGGAAUAAACUGGCAUAGGACUCCCUAAUAGGAGUAAAAUUAUCCUUUUCCUUUAUCCUCUUUGCGAACUCUGGCCUUGGAUGAAAAUUGAAUUUAGAGGUUCCUUGGUAAAUUUAUGGGGGUCGAGGACGAUGUUGAGGGACAGGUGCAUGCCAUUGUGGAUAAGAAGACGGAUGGGUACACAAUUAUGCAUUGUUCAAAGGACAUUGAGGAAGUGGAAUGGAACUCCUUGGAUUUUGAAAAGAGGAACCUUAUUACAGAUGAAUAAGUGGAUUUGAUAUGUAAGCUCGGGAUUGAGGCUGACAGUAUUGGUGAGUUGGACCUCUCAAACUCUGCUUUGGCCCAGGCACGACAACAGAUGUGUUUUCCUUCUUCUUUCUUUCAGUUUCCUUUGAAUGAUUGCAAUAUCGUCCCAAAUGUUUCACAGAAUCAUUCUGUCCACCAAGCUUCUUAAAUUUUGAUGUCUCAAAGCUUGGAGAAAGGUUAACACUUGAAAACAUUCAUAAGUCCUUAUAUGAGACACUUUUGUAACCCCCAAGUCCUUGCAAGUUCUUCAUAGCCAGUUCUAAACUUCUCAAUUUUCUGGUCAUUUCCUCUUGUUCUUCUGUCAUAACAGGCUUCUCAGUGUUAGGAGGAAAUUCAGGCGGGUGAGUGUCACCAUAAAGACCAGUCAACUUGAAUGUAGGCUCGAAAGUAUAACGCUGAUCACCAGUAAUAUUCAAUACAGGAUCUCUUGUAGAGUAGGGAGGAACAACUUGUGGAUGAACAUCAAAAAUAGGAGCUUCGGGUGGGGGUGGCACCAUAAAAGCAUGAGCAGCAGGUGGAGCCGAGUAUGUGGUAGUCUUGGAUUGGGGAGUGAGAAAAUGAACAUUGGAAGUGGUUGGAUAUUGUUGCCCCAGAGUCGAUCCUGAUGCAUGUUGUGGCAUAUCAACAAAAAUGGGAAAUUGUGCAUAUGACAUGGGAGGCAAGCUAGAAAGAUAUUCCAGAUUAUCAGUGGGAACUCGCGGAGAAGGCAACCCAUUAGCCCAAGCUCGAUGCAUUUCUAUCACUUGCUGCCUUAAUUUCUGAAUCUCUGCAUUAUCUCCUAAAUUCUCAUUUCUCGAACUCCCUAUCUAAUUAGUGACAACAAACUCGGUAUCCUUGUUGGCCAUAACCUUCUCUGUGACUUGGUGCAAUAUGGAGGACCAGCCAAAAUGCCACAAACCAACCACCUCAAACUAACUGAACAAGAGAUAGCAAAUGCGUUAGAGUUCAACACUUUCUCAAAAUCUCUCCUUUUUUUUAAAGAUCACCGAACCCAAGGGCGUCUACGUAUCUCACUCCCGAGAGAGGAGAAUCAGGUGUGCGUAGUUCGUGAAGUCUUUCCAAAAUAGCCAAAUUAAACUCUUUUUCUUUUUUUUUUUCUGAAACUUUAAGAAGAAAAGAAAAUAACAAUUUGUCAAAAGAAUUGAAGAAAAU
rnacentral:lncRNA from 1 species